rnacentral:ncRNA from 1 species
ACGAACCUCUGGAGAGAUCCGUAUGGACACCGAAGGAGCAAAACUCUCAGGUAAAAGGACAGAGGAGAU